CUGUUUCUAGACAGAAUCCAUCCUAUUCAGAUCAGCUUUCGUGGAAUCUGAAGUAAAUUACGUUAAAAUAAACAAAACAGAUUACAAGAAUACUUUGCUACCUUCAAAUUAUUAAUUAUUUCACUAUACUCUCAAAUAUCCUAUUUAGUGUUGAAUUUGUAAUAACAGACAUGGGGAGAUUUUUUAAGGUAUUUGAGAAAUUUUGGGUCAGAACUUAAACGUUUUCACCUGGCAUUAAACUUGGUGUACUAGAUGUUACCAUCACCAUUUGACAUCAGUGUCUAAUUAUCUGUGCUGCCAACUCUACAAGUUUCAUUGUCUUAACCAUAGCUUUCAGAUAUUUCUUAACAAACUAUUCAGUUUGUGCUGAAUAGAAAAGCAUAGUGGCUAAAAUUGGUUAUAUUUUAACCACAUUGAUAUGUGAGACAACUCUAGCUGUCUAAAAUAACUGAAGAAAAUGAAUGUAGAAACGUACUUCCAACAUCUUUCAUUUGAUAUACAAAAGAGGGACAUUAACUUCUGAAGACAUUUCUCAAGUUUUUGUCCUGUAAUGUACCCCUGGAAAGAUAGUUCAACCAUAUAUAUUAUUAAAGUAUUAUGUAACUGAAAGAUGUAUGGGGAUAAUAUCAUCAGUACCUGCCUAUUUGAAUACCUCAUCUGUGGAGCAUAUUUCAACUUAAUAUCUCACUUUUGUGUGGUUGUCAUGUGGCAGUCAAAUGGCAAUAAAUAUCCCAUAAAGCACAUUCUCUACUGGGAUGCCAAGAAAACAGCCAUUAAGACUCUUAUUUGAAAGGAAACUCAUUAAAAUCUCAGCCCCAUUUAGAUUUCAGGUUAUUUUCUGAAACCACUGAGAAGAAAAGCUAGGAUAAUUCUUUAAACAAGCCCAUGCCAGAUAUCAUUUUUUGUACUUGUCAGAUUUGAUAGAGUGCGCCAACUUUUAUGCUGAGGGAAUGUUAGUUUGACCUUCCUUAAUUUGCAUUAGGGGAGUGUGAUUCAUUGAUAAAUAGUGAUUGCUAAUGGCUGUAACUUUUGAAGCAUUGUAAAGGACAAAAGUUGGUUGUGAAAAUGGCUGCAGAAUUUAGACUGACAUUUUGUAGGUAGGUGGUGUUGACUGACGUUUUGUAGGUAGGUGGUGUUGACUGACGUUUUGUAGGUAGGUGGUGUUGACUGACGUUUUGUAGGUAGGUGGUGUUGACUGACGUUUUGUAGGUAGGUGGUGUUGACUGACGUUUUGUAGGUAGGUGGUGUUGACUGACGUUUUGUAGGUAGGUGGUGUUGACUGACGUUUUGUAGGUAGGUGGUGUUGACUGACGUUUUGUAGGUAGGUGGUGUUGACUGACGUUUUGUAGGUAGGUGGUGUUGACUGACGUUUUGUAGGUAGGUGGUGUUGACUGACGUUUUGUAGGUAGGUGGUGUUGACUGAC